rnacentral:rRNA from 1 species
AAAACUCUGUCCUCAAGGAAGAUAAUGACGGUACUUGAGGAGGAAGCCCCGGCUAACUACGUGCCAGCAGCCGCGGUAAGACGUAGGGGGCUAGCGUUAUCCGGAUUUACUGGGCGUAAAGGGUGCGGAGGCGGUCUUUCAAGUCAGGAGUGAAAGGCUACGGCUCAACCGUAGUAAGCUCUUGAAACUGGGAGACUUGAGUGCAGGAGAGGAGAGGGGAAUUCCUAGUGUAGCGGUGAAAUGCGUAGAUAUUAG